rnacentral:tRNA from 1 species
GGAGCGGUAUCGAAGUGGUCAUAACGAGGUGCACUCGAAAUGCAUUUGCCGGGUUUACUGGCACGUGGGUUCGAAUCCCACUCGCUCCG